AUUGAACGCUGGCGGCAGGCCUAACACAUGCAAGUCGAGCGGCAGCGGGAAAGUAGCUUGCUACUUUUGCCGGCGAGCGGCGGACGGGUGAGUAAUGCCUGGGGAUCUGCCCAGUCGAGGGGGAUAACUACUGGAAACGGUAGCUAAUACCGCAUACGCCCUACGGGGGAAAGCAGGGGACCUUCGGGCCUUGCGCGAUUGGAUGAACCCAGGUGGGAUUAGCUAGUUGGUGAGGUAAUGGCUCACCAAGGCGACGAUCCCUAGCUGGUCUGGGAGGAUGAUCAGCCACACGGGACCUGAGACACGGUCCAGACUCCUACGGGAGGCAGCAGUGGGGAAUAUUGCACAAGGGGGGAAACCCUGAUGCAGCCAUGCCGCGUGUGUGAAGAAGGCCUUCGGGUUGUAAAGCACUUUCAGCGAGGAGGAAAGGUUGGUAGCUAAUAACUGCCAGCUGUGACGUUACUCGCAGAAGAAGCACCGGCUAACUCCGUGCCAGCAGCCGCCGUAA
rnacentral:rRNA from 1 species